rnacentral:rRNA from 1 species
UACGGAGGAUCCAAGCGUUAUCCGGAUUUAUUGGGUUUAAAGGGUGCGUAGGCGGAUUGAUAAGUUAGAGGUGAAAUGUCCGAGCUCAACUCGGGAACUGCCUCUAAUACUGUUGAUCUAGAGAGUAGAUGCGGUAGGCGGAAUGUAUGGUGUAGCGGUGAAAUGCUUAGAGAUCAUACAGAACACCGAUUGCGAAGGCAGCUUACCAAUCUAUAUCUGACGUUGAGGCACGAAGGCCAGGGGAGCGAAAGGG